rnacentral:rRNA from 1 species
GGCUCAGAUUGAACGCUAGCGGGAUGCCUUACACAUGCAAGUCGAACGGCAGCACGGACUUCGGGUCUGGUGGCGAGUGGCGAACGGGUGAGUAAUAUAUCGGAACGUACCUUAUCGUGGGGGAUAACGCAGCGAAAGCUGCGCUAAUACCGCAUACGCCCUGAGGGGGAAAGCGGGGGACCGUAAGGCCUCGCGCGAUUAGAGCGGCCGAUAUCUGAUUAGCUUGUUGGUGGGGUAAAAGCCCACCAAGGCGACGAUCAGUAGCUGGUCUGAGAGGACGAUCAGCCACACUGGGACUGAGACACGGCCCAGACUCCUACGGGAGGCAGCAGUGGGGAAUUUUGGACAAUGGGGGCAACCCUGAUCCAGCAAUGCCGCGUGAGUGAAGAAGGCCUUCGGGUUGUAAAGCUCUUUUGUCAGGGAAGAAACAGCAGCUCUAACACAGUCUGCGAAUGACGGUACCUGAAGAAUAAGCACCGGCUAACUACGUG